UACGUAGGGGGCGAGCGUUGUUCGGAAUUACUGGGCGUAAAGGGCGUGUAGGCGGUGCGGUAAGUCGGGCGUGAAAUCCCCGGGCUUAACCCGGGGCGGUCGUUCGAAACUGCCGUGCUAGAGUGCAGGAGAGGGAAGUGGAAUUCCCGGUGUAGCGGUGAAAUGCGUAGAUAGUCGGGAGGAACACCUGCGGCGAAGGCGGCUCACUGGCCCGAUACUGACGCUGAGGCACGAAAGCGUGGGGAGCAAACAGG
rnacentral:rRNA from 1 species